rnacentral:rRNA from 1 species
CCUACGGGAGGCAGCAGUGAGGAAUAUUGGUCAAUGGACGAGAGUCUGAACCAGCCAAGUAGCGUGAAGGAUGACUGCCCUAUGGGUUGUAAACUUCUUUUAUAAAGGAAUAAAACGAGGCACGUGUGCCUUUUUGCAUGUACUUUAUGAAUAAGGAUCGGCUAACUCCGUGCCAGCAGCCGCGGUAAUACGGAGGAUCCGAGCGUUAUCCGGAUUUAUUGGGUUUAAAGGGAGCGUAGAUGGGUUGUUAAGUCAGUUGUGAAAGUUUGCGGCUCAACCGUAAAAUUGCAAUUGAUACUGGCAGUCGUGAGUACAGUUGAGGUAGGCGGAAUUCGUGGUGUAGCGGUGAAAUGCUUAGAUAUCACGAAGAACUCCGAUUGCGAAGGCAGCUUACUAAACUGCCACUGACAUUGAUGCUCGAAAGUGUGGGUAUCAAACAGGAUUAGAUACCCUUGUAGUC